rnacentral:rRNA from 1 species
UACAGAGGGUGCAAGCGUUGUUCGGAUUUACUGGGCGUAAAGCGUGCGUAGGCGGUAUUGAGAGUCGCGGGUGAAAUCCCAGGGCUUAACCCUGGAACUGCCUGCGAGACCUCAGUACUAGAGUGAGUGAGGGGUUGGUGGAAUUCCCAGUGUAGCGGUGAAAUGCGUAGAGAUUGGGAGGAACACCUGUGGCGAAGGCGGCCAACUGGCACUCAACUGACGCUCAGGCACGAAAGCGUGGGUAGCAAACAGG